CACGCCGAGCACAUUGGUUUCAUUAUAGAAUUUAAAAGCAGUUCCAACAAAAACAUAAACAUGCAAUAGGUUACGAACAAGUCAACAAGUAUGUACAACCUGAAGAACCGCGGAGCUCAUUUUCCCACCAAGCCCGAUCUGUGAAUUCUCAUUUUUCGUAUUGGCUGGUCACAACAGUCUCUUCCGUUGUUCGCGCCUCCCUUUGCACGAACUCUUUCGGUAGCCGACUGGAUUGCUGAACUACGUUUUGAUAAACGGCUUAUACACGUAAAUUCCGUUUAAACAGAGCCCUUUAGAAAUCUUUUCCUUCACAUUUGGAAAAAAGGCAGGCUUUGACUGACACCUGCCACGUGACCAGCACUGCAUACACGCCAUCCUCUUUUGUUUCCCAGGGAAACCGCCAGAACCACUUGAAAUGAACCAAUCAAAAGGGGAAUUAGAGGCAGUCUAGUAUUUUGUGUGCUCAACAGGUUAAAUACAGUUCAUGAAAAUGCACUGCAACCAGUUUUUUUUUAAUCAUUUUUAUGUAACU